rnacentral:rRNA from 1 species
GCGAAUCCCAAAAAGUGCGUCGUAGUCCGGAUUGGAGUCUGCAACUCGACUCCAUGAAGUCGGAAUCGCUAGUAAUCGUGGAUCAGAAUGCCACGGUGAAUACGUUCCCGGGCCUUGUACACACCGCCCGUCACACCAUGGGAGUGGGCUGCAAAAGAAGUAGGUAGUUUAACCUUCGGGGGGACGCUUACCACUUUGUGGUUCAUGACUGGGGUGAAGUCGUAACAAGGUAGCGCUAGGGGAACCUGGCGCUGGAUCACCUCCUUAAACGAUGAU